rnacentral:rRNA from 1 species
GACGAACGCUGGCGGUGUGCUUAACACAUGCAAGUCGAACGGUAAGGCCCUUUCGGGGGUACCCGAGUGGCGAACGGGGGCGUAAGACGUGGGUAACCUGCCCUCAUUUCUUGGAUAACAGGCGGAAACGGGUGCUAAUACUGGUAAUGAGCUUGCAAGGCAUCUGGUGGGUUGGAAAGAUUUUUUUUGGUUGGGGAUGGACUCGCGGCGUAUCAGCUUGUUGGUGAGGUAGUGGCUCACCAAGGCUUCGACGGGUAGCCGGCCUGAGAGGGCGAACGGCCACAUUGGGACCGAGCUACGGCCCACACUCCUACGGGAGGCAGCAGUGGGGAAUAUUGGACAAUGGACGGCAGUCUGAUGCAGCAACGCCGCGUGCGGGAUGACGGCCUUCGGGUUGUAAACCGCUCUCAAUGGUGACGAAGCUUUUUUGUGACGGUAGCAGUAGAAGAAGCACCGGCUAACUACGUG